rnacentral:rRNA from 1 species
AACGAACGCUGGCGGCAGGCUUAACACAUGCAAGUCGAACGAGAAAUAAGAGCUUGCUCUUAUGGACAGUGGCAGACGGGUGAGUAACGCGUGGCAACCUACCUUUUUCUACGGAACAACAGUUAGAAAUGACUGCUAAUACCGUAUACGCCCUCCGGGGGAAAGAUUUAUCGGUGAAAGAUGGGGCCGCGUUAGAUUAGCUAGUUGGUGAGGUAAAGGCUCACCAAGGCGACGAUCUAUAGCUGGUCUGAGAGGAUGAUCAGCCACACUGGGACUGAGACACGGCCCAG